GUGGCAUCAAAUACCUGUAAACCCCAAUAGAGCAAAAGACCUUUCACCUCCCUCCUGCAAAAUCCCUCUGAAUCGCAAUCUCACUGACCCACCUCAGAUAAAAACUCAAGAAACAAUAGCAUCAAACAUCUGACAAAACCAAUAUAGCAAAAAAGAGCUAAAAAACCCACAAAAGAUCAAGUCUUUGCUGCAUUUACCACCAACCCCAACUGCAAACUUCUCAAAAAAACACCUCCCAAAAUAUCUAAAUCACAAACUUCACAACAACAAUCUCACUUGACCCACCUCAGAUUUUUCAUCCUACAACUCAAAAACAGUGGCAUCAGACACACUUCACAAAACUUUAAAAUAGACAAAAUAAAGAACUCAGCUUUAACACAAAAACCAACUAACCGAAUCAAGAAGUAGUCAAUUCAAGAAGGCAACUUUCCAACAAAAAAACAAAA
rnacentral:misc_RNA from 1 species